rnacentral:rRNA from 1 species
ACUCAAAGGAAUAGACGGGGGCCCGCACAAGCAGCGGAGCGUGUGGUUUAAUUCGACGCAACGCGCAGAACCUUACCCAGAUUUGACUUGCACCUGCAAGCCCGUGAAAGCGGGUCGCCUUCGAGGGUGGUGCACAGAUGCUGCAUGGCUGUCGUCAGCUCGUGUCGUGAGAUGUUGGGUUAAGUCCCGCAACGAGCGCAACCCCCGCGGCCAGUUACUUGUGUCUGGCCGGACAGCCCUUCGGGGAGGAAGGCGGGGAUGACGUCAAGUCCGCAUGGCUCUUACGUCUGGGGCGACACACACGCUACAAUGAUAGCGACAGCGCGCAGCGACCUAGUGAUGGGGAGCGAAUCGCCAAACGUUAUCUCAGUGCAGAUCGGGGGCUGCAACUCGCCCCCGUGAAGGCGGAGUUGCUAGUAACCGCGUAUCAGCCACGGCGCGGUGAAUACGUACCCGGGCCUUGUACACACCGCCCGU